AAAGUGUUUCAACACAGUGCAUCGUUAGAUGCGACAUUUGUUCUCAUUUUUUUUUAUUGAUGUUCUAAUAAAAAUGUUUAAUUGUUCAACGGGGCACUUCUAAUUUCAAAGUAUCUUCUAUUUAUCGGUUAUAUUGAAAAUACCCUAACUGUCAAUUUUCAUACAAUUUUUACAAUUGUAAGAAGUUGAGGCGUUCCGGUCGCUAAUGACCACCGUGGCGCCACAGGAAAAACCAUGGCCGGUCGUAUAUGACCAACAUGGCAGUCAAAGUGUUAAGCUAAUCGUUCGAUCGUGGAUAAUAUUUUCAAUCUGUCUUGAAACCGUCUGGUCGCGUGAGGUCAUCGGAAUCGUGUGACUACAUCGAAGUAGCUACGUUUAAUCCGUGCCAUAGUAAUAUAUUCGUGGCUACUAUAAUAGUCGCGUUGUAAAUGAAGUCAGUGCGGAAGUUGCGCAUCGAUACUGCACUUAGAUCCUGAACCGAACCGGUUGUCGCUGCAGAUAGCGAUAAAGGAACAUGGUUGCACGGUAUGGCUGACGCUCGGUUUUUUUCCCCCGGACACGCUAAAAACCUCGUCGAUAAGCAUGGCGUGUAAACCUACGACUGUUACCACCGUUUCUCGCGUGAACGCUGUUCGAUACGGAAUUCGUUGAAAAAAUUCACUCGAUCCUUCGGCGAUUCUUUCUCCGCUCGAUCAUAAAAUACAAAGCUGGAAAUUAUCGGAGGAUCGGGGGCGCUUCUGACACUGUCCGCGCGAACACAAGCUUCAGCGCGUCAAACCAUGGCGGCAAUUGCUAGCCACAAUUCGUUACGCGUCACGUGUACAUUUUUAAAGGUGGCGUGCGCGAUUGCGAGACUAAUUGAGGCCUUGAUACCGCCAGGAAUUACCUGCACUUUCUGGGGGAACUCGUUUCUUUCCACGGAACGUAGUAUGGAUUUACCCUGCGGCUUCCACGCUGCUCGUGUCGCUCCUUUCAGUUCCAACUUUUGUUUUCUGCUCUUCAGCAGAAAUUCCACGCUUCCGUUCGGAAAUACCGAUGGUUCGCGCGAUCUGCACUUUCAACAGCGACUAUAAAUUCACUGAUUCACGGCGCACGUCCAAUUAGGAUCGCGAGUAACGAUGAAAGAUCGGCUUUAACAGAAGCUGCUUCGUUAUGGAUUCACGGCGGUUUCUUUGGCCGCCAAGCGACUGGUAGGCGGAGCCAAGUGAGCGGAGCACGUGGCGCGCGUGGUACGCUGCCUCGAAGAACUGGACGUGCCGCAGUUACCUUUCGACCUGUCAACAAUAGACGUAGCGCGUCGCACGCGCCACGCCACUCAUUUUCUUCCACGCUUCGACCGCGAAAACACUGCCGCCACGUUCGUGUGCAAAGAAAGUAAAACUUUCAAUCGACAGAGUGCUCCGUUUUCUUUUCCCUCGUCGUUUAAACCGUGCGUUUGUUUCAUCGCCGGAAAGUGCACCGAGUUCCAUCGAGAAAGAUGGAAACUUACAUUUGCGCUGGUGGUUCCGAAAAAUACUGAGACGGUGUUCGAUUUCAUAGUGACGUGACGAAUUGUCCAGCAGCUUUAGACGAGGCGGGUAGUGGAUCCGAGUGAGGAGCGGAACGAUCGAAAGUGAGAGGUCGAGUCGAGGCGAAUCAACCGACAAUUCUUCGUGACCAUGGCUGGCCGCGUCGUUUCGAGUUAUAUCGCGGAAAGAACUUGCAUCGAACAGUGCGACUUCCGAUCGAAUAUCGUCGCGAGUUAGAAUCUACUCGCUUUCGAUUCGAUGAUCUUGAAAACAUCGAAAGCGAUAAAUAACCGCUCAACGUGUUUGCCACGCAAGUGGCCGUAGAAACAGUAGAAAUAUGUUUCGUUCGGGUAUCACGUUUCCGCGACAAGUUUUCUGCGAAACGAUGAGCUGUUCGUUCGAAAUGUUAUUCGUCAGAGCCACGGCGAAAGUGUGUGCUGUAGUGUCGUACGGAGUAUCGAUUACCAUUUCUGGAGUAGCUGGAACGAUAAUAGAGGCAUAAAUAUUACUCGAACAUUGCGGUCUGCCGCUUUAGCCUCUGACGUCACGCUCUCCGGUCCAGCGAGUCGGUGUCGUCCUUACACAAAUUUUUCAAAGAUUUUCGCGUCAAUCGUCGAUCGCACGCAGUGAAAAGUUUCUAGUCGCGGUAACGAGGUGGUGUGGCGGUUCAGUGGUUUCUUUGUCGGGAAGUUGCUCUUGGCUGAUUUUUUGCCGACGAUCAGGCACGUUCGAGCUACGCCUCCAAAGGAAUAGAAUUUCCACUCUCGAGUACCUGUGUAUAAACAACGGGAUGUCGUGAUCGUUAAGAGUCGCGAGAGCAUCGCUUUGAAUGGAGUACUCGUUAAGCGUGGAAACGAGAGAAGGUCCGCCAACGACUCGAACUUUCCUAUUGCGGGAUACUCCCGUUAACCUCUUAGUGCCGUAUCGUUUACGGGUGAAACUCUGCCGUACAAAGAAACGGCCCAUGCAAAAUUCAGUACCUAAGAGGUUAACAAACGUCAUCUCUCGUCAUUUGUUCAAGAUCGUGACAUUUUUCGUACACCAACCUCGAACAAUAUUACUCGAACUGUACCAGUGCGGAUAGUUGCAUACGUCGUUGGAGAGAAACGAUGGUCGUUGUUCGCCGAUAUUGUAACUUCGUUUUGCAUUCGGUGGAAGGGCAGAAAAAUAUGGUAACGGAAAUGAAGUAAAGAAAAGUUUUCGCGAGAUACACAGAGAAUGCGAGACUAGCGGAUCUCGGACACGCGGUGCUGCUUCUUCCUUAACGGAGAACUCAAUCCCCUUAAGUAACUUCCUUUCAACUCGACUACGCUUAGUUCGCAAAAAAAAAAAAAA